ensembl:snoRNA
CUUGUCCCUAGAGGCUUUGUAGGUGUGGUUGCUGUGUCACACUUGCAUCAGUAAGUGGCAGGAAGGAGGGAGGCUAGUCUGUGUUCAGUGUUCUGACCUGUGAAUAUCAGAAUGAUUAGUAGUCUAACUUU